rnacentral:sRNA from 1 species
CACUAGCCCGGAUAGAAGUGGAAAUCCUUUUAUGUUCGCCGCGGCGGAUGUAAAAGAUUGUAACAAAUAGCCGGAUUAGCU